UACGUAGGGCGCAAGCGUUGUCCGGAAUUAUUGGGCGUAAAGAGCUCGUAGGCGGCCUGUUGCGUCCGCUGUGAAAUCCCGGGGCUCAACCCCGGGCGUGCAGUGGAUACGGGCUGGCUGGAGGCAGGCAGGGGAGAACGGAAUUCCUGGUGUAGCGGUGAAAUGCGCAGAUAUCAGGAGGAACACCGAUGGCGAAGGCAGCUCGCUGGGACGGUACUGACGCUGAGGCGCGAAAGCGUGGGGAGCAAACAGG
rnacentral:rRNA from 1 species